UAUUCUCAGGGCGGGGCGAAAUUCCCCACCGGCGGUAAAUCAGCUACGGCUGAAAGCCCGCGAGCGCUUCCUGUGAAAAUGGGAAGGUCAGCAGAUCCGGUGUAAUUCCGGGGCCGACGGUUAGAGUCCGGAUGGGAGAGAGU
rnacentral:ncRNA from 1 species